GUGAAGUAAGUCAAUAAGAUAGCAACGUUAAAUCUCGUGAAACCACGCGUGAUUUCAUCUCGCGGGCUUUGGAUCGUGGUUUAAAAAAGGCAUCCAUCUCAGUCAAGUCGAGCAGCCAACUCUACGUUUUUGGUAUGUCUUGAUUUUUUGAAUUAAUAUUUACCAUAUUUCAGCCAAAUGUAGUUAAACGUCUAGAGUGUCGCCAUGUAACAUGCUAAAAAAGAGCCGUUAGCUUAUUUGCUGUUUUAUCUGUUGUCAAAGAAUUGGCGCUUUUUCAUUUGAAUUUGUCUUUGGCACAAGAGCCGUAAUAUCACAUUAAACCUAAUUACGAGGCACUCAUAACAUAAUUUGGUUUUCUGUGUGAAUAGAUUUGUCAACUGACUCUUCAGUUACAUUGUGUAUUUACUGCACCGUGGUGUUAGUGAGAUUUUGGACAUUGAACAGCUUUAGCUAAUAUCAUCAGCGGCAUUAUGCUAGCUUACAUCCCUACCCCUCCUGCCCUCACCUGCUGUCCUUUUGUUUUUGUUUUUUUUGCUGCACAUUGAGAGAUGACCUCUAUUCUGCAUUUCACCAGGAGUCAGCUGAUGGAUUGUGGGUUCAAGGUGUUAUGAUAAAAUGCAGCAUUCCAGUGCAUCCCAACCAUGCCUUUACAGUCAAGGUUUCUGACGGAGCUGAGUUUCUCUCUGACAGUCUGCUGAAAGUGUUUGCAAAGUGAUCGGGGGAACAGGGCACAAAGCUAAAGGAUGUAGCUGCCAUGAUGACAGAUGACAUUAAUGCUCGGAGUCCCUCAUCAAAGUGCUCCGCAUCUGUGUGAAAGACAAUUGCAACAUCUUGGUGCAGGAGUUCAUGGACUUGCCUGAGGCCACUGCACAGAUUGAGAAAACCACAAUGAACAUCUGUCUCCAGAGAUGCACCAGGCAAUGACUUUUCUGAUGUUGUUCUUCAAGAUCUGGAUAACGUGACCUUUGCAGUAGCCAUGCUGUUUGGACC
ensembl:lncRNA